rnacentral:rRNA from 1 species
AUUGAACGCUGGCGGCAUGCCUUACACAUGCAAGUCGAACGGCAGCGGGGGAGAAGCUUGCUUUUCCUGCCGGCGAGUGGCGAACGGGUGAGUAAUACAUCGGAACGUGCCCUGUAGUGGGGGAUAACUAGUCGAAAGAUUAGCUAAUACCGCAUACGGCCUGAGGGUGAAAGUGGGGGACCGCAAGGCCUCAUGCUAUAGGAGCGGCCGAUGUCUGAUUAGCUAGUUGGUGGGGUAAAGGCCUACCAAGGCGACGAUCAGUAGCUGGUCUGAGAGGACGAUCAGCCACACUGGGACUGAGACACGGCCCAGACUCCUACGGGAGGCAGCAGUGGGGAAUUUUGGACAAUGGGCGAAAGCCUGAUCCAGCAAUGCCGCGUGUGUGAAGAAGGCCUUCGGGUCGUAAAGCACUUUUGUCCGGAAAGAAAUGGCUCUGGUUAAUACCUGGGGUCGAUGACGGUACCGGAAGAAUAAGGACCGGCUAACUACGUGCCAGCCGCCGUAACAC